UGCACAUGCUCACUUGUUUUACAAAAUGUAAAAUUCAGGCUGGAACAGUGAUGCAAGAAAAGGGCAGGCUAAUUCCUUCUUCCUGGCAUUCUUUUCCUGCUGAAAGUCACCUCUGAUCAAGAGUGAUAUUCAAAACAACCAAAAUGAGCCACACAGCAGUUGAUUUUAAAGAAAAGUGAUUUGUAAGUGGGUACUCUUUUACAGAUGGGCCAGGUAUCCAUGCUUUGAGGGGAGAACCUGCUUAUCCUACUGCUGCCUAGUGAGAUUCAUUUGCCUGCACUGUGGCGGAGAGCGCCUCCAUUGCAACACUUAACAUGUGGAUCGACCUCCCCAGGCAAUCAUGGAUGAUUGUAGGAUGGUGUAUAUUCCACUGUCAGGUGUCAGCCAACAGGGUGCAACAGGAUUACAGGGUUUGGUUCGUAAGAAUUCCAUAGCUGUGAGGAACCCAAAGCCAUCAGAAAUGCAGCAGCAAAUAAAACCAACCAAUAAAUUGAAGAAAACAGCCUAAUAAACAACACUGAAAUUAGCACAGCUCAAUAAGAUCAAAACUAAGAGUCAAAAUAGCAACUAAACAGACUGUGAUAAAAGGACAGAAAUAAACGUUUUGAUCAUGAUGAUGAUGUAGAAUGCUGGAAAUUGUAUUAUUGUGAUUCAUUUGUUCUGUGUUUGUACCUACUGGUUUUGAUAAAAUAGUAACAGGUAAUUAAAAAUAAAA